UUUAGAAAAAAAUUAAAAUUCGCUAUUCUGAGCCUAAUUCUUGAACUCAUGGUAUUACAACUCUCGCCCCUUAAAGAAAAUUUGAUCCCUCAAAUUGUUAUCCUCUAUUCAAGUAAUUGAGGAUACCUAGCUCUGAAGUCUGAUUCUAACUCCUAGGUGGCCUCGUUUUGCGAGUGAUUUUGCCAUAAAAUCUUGAUAAGAGAAAUUUCUCU
rnacentral:lncRNA from 1 species